UGGGGAAUUUUGGACAAUGGGGGCAACCCUGAUCCAGCAAUGCCGCGUGAGUGAAGAAGGCCUUCGGGUUGUAAAGCUCUUUUGUCAGGGAAGAAACGGUAGUAGCGAAUAACUACUACUAAUGACGGUACCUGAAGAAUAAGCACCGGCUAACUACGUGCCAGCAGCCGCGGUAAUACGUAGGGUGCAAGCGUUAAUCGGAAUUACUGGGCGUAAAGCGUGCGCAGGCGGUUGUGUAAGUCAGAUGUGAAAUCCCCGGGCUCAACCUGGGAAUUGCAUUUGAGACUGCACGGCUAGGGUGUGUCAGAAGGGGGUAGAAUUCCACGUGUAGCAGUGAAAUGCGUAGAUAUGUGGAGGAAUACCGAUGGCGAAGGCAGCCCCCUGGGAUAACACUGACGCUCAUGCACGAAAGCGUGGGGAGCAAACAGGAUUAGAUACCCAUGUAGUCCCUGAGCGGGCUGGCAAGGCGCAU
rnacentral:rRNA from 1 species